AACGAACGCUGGCGGCAGGCCUAACACAUGCAAGUCGAGCGAGGACUUCGGUUCUAGCGGCGGACGGGUGAGUAACGCGUGGGAAUGUGCCCUUCUCUACGGAAUAGCCCUGGGAAACUGGGAGUAAUACCGUAUACGCCCUUUUGUGGAAAGAUUUAUCGGAGAAGGAUCAGCCCGCGUUGGGUUAGGUAGUUGGUGGGGUAAUGGCCUACCAAGCCGACGAUCCAUAGCUGGUUUGAGAGGAUGAUCAGCCACACUGGGACUGAGACACGGCCCAGACUCCUACGGGAGGCAGCAGUGGGGAAUCUUAGACAAUGGGGGCAACCCUGAUCUAGCCAUGCCGCGUGAGUGAUGAAGGCCUUAGGGUUGUAAAGCUCUUUCAGCUGGGAAGAUAAUGACGGUACCAGCAGAAGAAGCCCCGGCUAACUCCGUG
rnacentral:rRNA from 1 species